UACGUAGGGUGCGAGCGUUAAUCGGAAUUACUGGGCGUAAAGCGUGCGUAGGCGGUUGCGCAAGACAGGUGUGAAAUCCCCGGGCUUAACCUGGGAAUUGCACUUGUGACUGUGCGGCUGGAGUGCGGCAGAGGGGGAUGGAAUUCCGCGUGUAGCAGUGAAAUGCGUAGAUAUGCGGAGGAACACCGAUGGCGAAGGCAGUCCCCUGGGCCUGCACUGACGCUCAUGCACGAAAGCGUGGGGAGCAAACAGG
rnacentral:rRNA from 1 species